ACAAAAAUCUUAAAUGUUAAGAGAAACGUGAACACACCAUUGAAUUAACGUCCCUUAAAUCAUAAACGAUGCGCAUUUUUCUCACAUUCCUUUCUUUACUACCGAAGUUUUUUUUUUUUUUAAAUAUAAUGCAUCAAUUGAUACAAGUGUAAUUGUGUAUGACUUCUUUAAAAAUUAUGAAACAUACGAUAAGAUAAACGGAAUAAAGAAAUAGUUUCCUUGUGUCAAAAUCCAAAAUCUGAAGUGCAGUCUAACUCACCAUGUGGUUCCUAAUAUCACUAGUGGCGUUUAGAUUGUACGUUGUAAAGAAACCUCUGCAUCCAUCAUGAGUUUAAUUUCUAUUUGUAAUGGUUUCAUUGGGAUUUUUUUUGGCAUACAUAUAUAUUAAUAAUAUUUUAUACACUUGUAUUUCAUAGCUAAGUAAUAACGAAUUCGUUGUGGAAAACAAACAAAUGACCUAUAAUGGUUUACUUUUACAAAUUGUGACUUGGAUGGAGAGUUGUCUCAUUGGCACUCAUACCACAUAUUCUUAUAUCUAAUAAAUGAAAUUAAAACAUACAAUUGAAAACUUUAAAUGUAUAAAAAUGCAAAAAAUCCCAAUAAAAUCGUUUACAGUAAAUAUUAAAUCUGACAUCUACUAUUGUAGGGCUGGUGUCGCCUGUACUCCAACAGGUAGUAUACGUUUAGUUGAUGGAUCUAAUUCAGAUGAAGGAAGAUUGGAAAUUUAUCACAAUGGCACUUGGGGUACUGUGUGUGAUGAUCAUUUCGACUGUGCUGCUGCUAUGGUAGUUUGUCGACAACUUGGCUACAGGAUAGGGUUUUCCUUGGGAAAUUUUGUAAAAGAUGGUAAUGGUACAAUUUGGUUGGACAACGUACAUUGUAGUGGGACGGAGAGCAGCAUAUCAAUAUGCCCACAUAAUUAUUGGAAGGUUCAUGACUGCGGUCAUCAUGAAGAUGUAGGAGUGUAUUGCUUUAGCUCAUAUGAUAACAGUUAUGAAUCGCAUUUCUACAGGAAAUAUUGCGAUGGAACAUCAUUGGAUAAGAAACUAUGUGACAGCGCUUGUUGUACUGGUAAGUUUUACUUCAACCAGAGCUGUGAUUUAUUCUUUUCGUUAAGACAAUGUAACUUCUAAGAAUUUUAAAUAAUCACGUGGAAAUCAAGAUUAUUAUUGCAGUGAGUUAUAACAUUUGAACUAUUUUUAUUUCAAUCUGAUUUUUAUUAUAAGUACAUACGUAUCAAGUAUAUAUUUACGAGGCGCUCACAAUACAAACGGUUUUACAGUUAACUAAAAGCCUUUAAAUGUAUUUCCAUAAUUCAAAACAAACACACCUAAGACACACAGAUAAUAUAAUGUCACUGAUCUACUGAACUUAAUUAUGUUAUACGUGUAAUUCUAAUGAAUCUGUAAUAUAUAAUGUAUCAAUAUAAUAUUGGUAUGCUUAUGCUUAUGCUUAAUGUAAUAGUUUUGUUCAAAACUUUUAUUAAGAUAUAUAUAUAUUAUUUUGUACUAAAUAAAAUUAGUUGGCUAAUACUUAUUUCAAAAUGAUAAUGAUUUUGUAUUACUUUGUUUACAUGUCAAUAAUUAUGUGAGUAUUUGUGAUAAAAUUAUUUUCUGUGCUCACCAUUAGUCUACAUACUCAAAUCUUAGUAUUUGUUAAUGUUUGUGCCAAACAUAUUUCAUAUGUUUACCUUACUAACAGAAUACACUUGACUUGCAUCAUUUGGUUCCAUAUUCCAUAUCAAAACAUUACAAAUUGUAAAUGCAUUUUCUUUUUAUCUUGUUUUACAUCGAAUGGACUGCUAUUGGGCGAGAUAAAUGUUACACUUUGUUGAAUAAAAUGGAACCGCCUCUCAUUUCGUUUGGAAUACCAGAAACGCUGAAUCGACCUUGAUGCAUAUGUUCGAAAGGUGCUUCAGUAUUAUCCUAGAAGAUGGCUAUUCGACAUUUAAAAGAUUUUGUCAAGUGCAUGUGGUAGAGAACACAUGUCACAAAGAAUGCAAGAGGAGCCAUAUGAAGUCCAUUUUAUUGAAAGGAUACUUCUCCGAAGAUAAGAAACACUGGGUUUACAACUGGAUAAAAAAAAUAGUCUUAAAAAUGUUGAUAUAAAAAUCUAAUAUUGCUGUGUUAAUAAAAUCUUAUAUUUUCUGAUACUGACAGGCGCCAUCUACAUUUGCUUUAUACAGAUAUUUCAAUGUUCUAUAACUUGAUAAAUAUGAAGUCAUAAAAAAUAUGCAAUAAUAUUUAAUGAAAUGCCAGUUUUGAGUUCCACCGUUUUCUUUAUUUUACACGAAACAAUGUGAACCAUCUCCUAAUCUUGUGUCCUCAAAUCGGACGCUAGAGUUUGUUUUACAGUGUUAUUUCCAUUUUGUGUACCUUUGUUUUUAUAUUUUACUUGAUUUGUACUUUAUCAAGAAAGUGUAUACUAUAUAAGUUAUGUACUAAGAACUACAAAAACUUUCUAUCAGCGUCUUUGUCAAUAAAAUUACUAUCAACAUCAAAAAGUUUUUGUUGGCGUCUUCGUCAGCUACAACACCUUUUUUUUUGCAUCUUUGUCAGCUACAACACUUUUUUGUUGGCGUCUUUGUUAUCCUUGGUGUUUUCCCCCAUGACGUUGUUGGUUUGUUCUAGACUUAUGAGGUUGAAUGUCACUUUGGUAUGUUUCGCCUUUCUUUUACGUAAUACAAUUGUACAUCUAUUAUAUUUUUCUAACAGGAUAAUAAGGGUGCAAAAUAUGGACUUUGUCAUAGCCAUACACAUUGUGAAGCGGUGAAUUCGUUACCUCUGCUAACGGUUUUUCAGUUUAAAGUAGAGAUUUAUUAAACAUUUUGGUUGGAAUCCUUAGUUGGAAAUAAUUUCCGAUGUCAAAUUUCCUUCAAAUCAUCUUGUCAUAUACAAAGCGCCCCGUGCUAGGCUAAUUAUAAUCCAUAUGCAUGUAAAAAGAAUAACUCUCAUGAUAAUCCGGAACAGGUACGCUCGUGACAAAAGCAAAAUGUAGCAAACAGUCAAAAUCGUCAAAAAGUUUAUAUAAUUGAACGACACCUUACAUGUAAUAGAAAAACAAAUGAUAUAGGGUAUCCAUCCAUGACACAAAAUCAGUACAAGCACAGCAAAAAACACACAAAAAGCAAAGGAACAGCGUCUUUAUUGCUGUUCUUCAUCUCAAAGUGAGGUCUUCAACACGGAGCAAAAAAAAACCUCGCCUUACUGCUCACUGUUUAAGACGGUGUAGUUUUUGACCAUUUGUAAUUGAUUUGUUUAAAAACUUUCUAGAGUAUAUAGACAUAACUUAAUUGGCAUAGAUAACGGCAACAGUAGUAUACCGGUGUACAUACAUACAUAAAUGACAUAGAUAAUGAUAUAGAAAGUGACAUUUCACUUUUUGAUGACGGCACAUCAAUUUAUAUAGUGGUUCAUAACGAAUAUGGAGCAGCAGAAAAGUUAAAUAAAGAUAUUGAGGAGAUACAUAUUUGGUUCAAUCAAAGGCUUGUUAAUUUCAACCAAAACAAAACAGAAAUAAUGACUAUAUCAAAAGAGCACCAUAACCUCAUCAACCAUCAAUUUAUAUAAAUAAUAAUAUCAGAGAUGUAUAGUCGCACAAUCAUUUAGGGGCUAUUAUAAAUGAAGACUGAAACUGGAAUAGUUAUGGGAAAAUGAUUAUUAAUAAUGCUCUUUCACUAUUAAUCUUAUUCCGAAUCCUGAAGUUCAAAUUAAAAAGGAAGAAAAAAGAAACCAUUUGAGUAUCGUUUAUGCAUCUAGUCUUAGAUUAUUGUUAUAUUUUCUGGAAAAAUAUCCCUGACUAUUCUAAAACAUCUUUAGAAAACAUGCAACCAGAAGCAGCAAAAUUUGUCACAGGUGGUACCAACAUAACACCAAGACAGUUGCUGUACGACAAAUCAGGUUAGGAAACUCCAGUCGCGGCGUAAUAAACAUUAAUUGUUAAAUUGUCUGCAUUAGUCCCAAAUCAGAGGCCAUAUCUACAUGCCUAUAUGACUAGGGGGUCUUCCAAUUUACAAAAUAUAUUAUACAGAACAAGUUAUUAUCCGAAGUCAUUUCUACCAGCAGUUAUAAACUUUUGGAAUGAUAUUCCAGACGAAAUUCGUAUCAAUCAAUCAAAACCUGGUUUUAAGACUAUCUCUUUCAAAAUAUUAUUAAAAUCCCUUUGAUUUUUCACAUAGGUUCUAGAAGAGAACACAUAUGUUUUGUAAGACUACGACUCCAGAAUUGUGUUCAAAAGGACCAUCUUUACAAAAAACAAAUCUGACCCACAGCGCAUUGUCUUCCUGUGGGCACGACGAAAAAAACUUUCAUUACUUCCUCAAAAGUCCAAAAUAUAAUGAAACUCGAAGGGAUACUACAUGUAUCGAGACAGUCUCUUGUAUUAACCCUAAGAUUAUAGUAUACGGUGACAAUUAAAUGUCAGAAAAGGACAAUAAGCUAAUAUUUCAUAAGGUUUCUGAAUAUGUAAAUAAAACAAAACGUUUUGAAAUUUGACCUUGUACAUAUUGUAAAUGUUCUUAUUACUUUAUAUAUUGAUGCCAAAUCGAGUGGACUGCGCGUAAUCUACAUUUAUCGGUCAUGAUGGUGGAUUCAGUGACUCCAUCAGGAAAAUAAAAGUUAACUGUUUUGUUGAUUGAUUUUAUUUUUGUUUUAGUUUUUUUUGUAUUUAUUGACAUUUAUUAUAUGUUACCUUUAGCUGUAAAUACUUUUGGUACGUCAUAUUGUUUGUUAUAUAAUUUUUUUUCGGGAGACGGAUUGAUAAAAUAUUUUCCAGACUUGUUUUCGAAUCUCAUAUUUGACUGCUAUGUAAAAUUGUACUUUUAUACUGAUGUUUCAAUAAUAAAUACUGUUUAAACUAACAGCAAUUGUUAAAUUGAAGAACAUCUAUUAAAGGUAGUUCUUCAUUAUAUUCGAUGCCUUUGUCUCUUGUAUGGUCACUCAUAAUACCUUCUCUAAUAAAAGUUGAAUUAGACAUUUUAAUUUUUAUACGUUUCUGAAAUAGAUGAAUAUCUUAUUUUGAACAAUACAAAUCUAACAACUUGUAACAGUAUCCCCAUGCAAUGAUUUGCUUCUACAGAAAGUCUUGGUAUCUACUGUAAUGAAAUGCGAAGCAUAUGGAUUACAAUAAACACAAAAUAAAA